UGGUAAGUCCGCACGAGCGCAACCCCUGCAUCAGUUGCAACGGUAAGGCCGGGCGACUCUGGAUGGACUGCCGGCGACAAGCCGGAGGAAGGUGGGGAUGACGUCAAGUCAUCAUGGCCCUUAUGUCCAGGGCGACACACGUGCUACAAUGGCCGGCACAGCGGGAAGCAGGGGGCGACCUUGAGCGGAUCCCUCAAAGCCGGUCUCAGUUCGGAUUGCAGUCUGCAACUCGACUGCAUGAAGUUGGAAUCGCUAGUAAUCGUGGAUCAGCCAAGCCGCGGUGAAUACGUUCCCGGGCCUU
rnacentral:rRNA from 1 species